rnacentral:snRNA from 1 species
AGAUCACUUGAGCCCAGGAGGUUGAGGCUGCAGUGAGCUGAGAUUGCACCAUUCCAGCCUGGGCAACAGAG